rnacentral:rRNA from 1 species
GCAAGUCGAGCGGAUGAAGGGAGCUUGCUCCUGGAUUCAGCGGCGGACGGGUGAGUAAUGCCUAGGAAUCUGCCUGGUAGUGGGGGAUAACGUCCGGAAACGGGCGCUAAUACCGCAUACGUCCUGAGGGAGAAAGUGGGGGAUCUUCGGACCUCACGCUAUCAGAUGAGCCUAGGUCGGAUUAGCUAGUUGGUGGGGUAAAGGCCUACCAAGGCGACGAUCCGUAACUGGUCUGAGAGGAUGAUCAGUCACACUGGAACUGAGACACGGUCCAGACUCCUACGGGAGGCAGCAGUGGGGAAUAUUGGACAAUGGGCGAAAGCCUGAUCCAGCCAUGCCGCGUGUGUGAAGAAGGUCUUCGGAUUGUAAAGCACUUUAAGUUGGGAGGAAGGGCAGUAAGUUAAUACCUUGCUGUUUUGACGUUACCAACAGAAUAAGCACCGGCUAACUUCGUGCCAGCAGCCGCGGUAAUACGAAGGGUGCAAGCGUUAAUCGGAAUUACUGGGCGUAAAGCGCGCGUAGGUGGUUCAGCAAGUUGGAUGUGAAAUCCCCGGGCUCAACCUGGGAACUGCAUCCAAAACUACUGAGCUAGAGUACGGUAGAGGGUGGUGGAAUUUCCUGUGUAGCGGUGAAAUGCGUAGAUAUAGGAAGGAACACCAGUGGCGAAGGCGACCACCUGGACUGAUACUGACACUGAGGUGCGAAAGCGUGGGGA